rnacentral:rRNA from 1 species
AGUGGCGCACGGGUGCGUAACGCGUGGGAAUCUGCCCUUGGGUUCGGAAUAACAGUUAGAAAUGACUGCUAAUACCGGAUGAUGUCUUCGGACCAAAGAUUUAUCGCCCGAGGAUGAGCCCGCGUAGGAUUAGCUAGUUGGUGGGGUAAAGGCCCACCAAGGCGACGAUCCUUAGCUGGUCUGAGAGGAUGAUCAGCCACACUGGGACUGAGACACGGCCCAGACUCCUACGGGAGGCAGCAGUGGGGAAUAUUGGACAAUGGGCGAAAGCCUGAUCCAGCAAUGCCGCGUGAGUGAUGAAGGCCUUAGGGUUGUAAAGCUCUUUUACCCGGGAUGAUAAUGACAGUACCGGGAGAAUAAGCCCCGGCUAACUCCGUGCCAGCAGCCGCGGUAAUACGGAGGGGGCUAGCGUUGUUCGGAAUUACUGGGCGUAAAGCGCGCGUAGGCGGCUUUGUAAGUUAGAGGUGAAAGCCCGGAGCUCAACUUCGGAAUUGCCUUUAAGACUGCAUCGCUUGAAUCAUGGAGAGGUCAGUGGAAUUCCGAGUGUAGAGGUGAAAUUCGUAGAUAUUCGGAAGAACACCAGUGGCGAAGGCGACUGACUGGACAUGUAUUGACGCUGAGGUGCGAAAGCGUGGGGAGCAAAC